rnacentral:lncRNA from 1 species
GAGAAAGAGAGUUUGGUCCACUCUCUAAAUGGCUGCAAUGGCCAGAGUUGGGCUGAUCCAAAAGCAGGAGACGGGAGCUUCUUCUGGGUCUCUCACAUGGGUGCAGGGGCCCAAGGACUUGGGUCAUCUUCUACUGCUUUCCCAGGCCAUAAGCAGAGAGCGGGAUCAGAAGAGGAGCAGCCGGGACUGGAAGCAGUGCCCAUAUGGGACGCUAGUGCUGCAAGCAGAGGCUUAGCCUGCUAUGCCACAGUGACGGCCCCUAGAAAAAAUUUUAUAUCAAUAUAAACUCAUCUUUUAAUCCCAGUCCAAGAAAGUUCUGGAAUAUCCUCAUACAUUGCUCAUAAUUGUUCUGUAGCGAAGUCUUCUAGUGGGGUGUGUUGGGGGUGUGUUGGGACAGAGACAUGGGACAGCCAGAAGAAAAAAGAAAACAUGGCUGAAAAGCAUGACCCAUGGCAAGAAAGCACGGCUUUUCUGCUGUUGAAUGGGAAAGGUGUGUCUUUGGGGCUUCCACCUCCUUUCUGGCUCCCUGCAAGGAAUGCCACGGGUCAGGAGAGUUACUUAGCUAAGUAAAUAGACAUGAGUGAUUGGGAGAGAAUUACAAAGUCUCCUCUAAGUAACCGAGUCAAAACUAACAAUGCGCAGCUGUCAGAACAGCAGAUGAAGCUGCCCAAACCGUCACCCUAGAAGCAUCCCAGUAUUUUAAAGGCUGGCUGUCGGGGACGAUGUGUGAUGGAUGUCGUUUUGCCUUUUAGCCGUGGGAAGAAAGCUCGGAGGAGUGGCAACAGGGAGUGUCAUUUGGGGAAGGAGUGCGGUGUGCCUAAGUGGAAGAUUCUAGACAAGGCAAGCAGUGGGGCAGAGCCCCCGAUGACCUCAAGAUGUUCCAGGACACUGCACCUCUCAAUGGUCAACUACCUUGGAACACAGCCACGAUGCGGACAGAGCUUCCAGUGUGUGAACCUUUGGCAGUCACUCAACCACAUCCCAACCACAGCACACCCUUCCAUUUGGCCCAGAGAAAGGCAAGAGGGCCAAGCCUUUCUCUCUUGGCCUCAGCCAGAUGCUGGCUCCCUCCUUGGGAAGGAGUAUAACCUUGGGUGA